rnacentral:rRNA from 1 species
CCUACGGGGUGCAGCAGUGAGGAAUAUUGGUCAAUGGCCGUAAGGCUGAACCAGCCAAGUCGCGUGAAGGAAGAAGGAUCUAUGGUUUGUAAACUUCUUUUAUAGGGGAAUAAAGGUAUCCACGUGUGGAUAUUUGCAUGUACUCUAUGAAUAAGCAUCGGCUAACUCCGUGCCAGCAGCCGCGGUAAUACGGAGGAUGCGAGCGUUAUCCGGAUUUAUUGGGUUUAAAGGGUGCGUAGGUUGUUUUUUAAGUCAGCGGUGAAAGUUUGUGGCUCAACCAUAAAAUUGCCGUUGAAACUGGAAGACUUGAGUGUGUUUGAGGUAGGCGGAAUUCGUGGUGUAGCGGUGAAAUGCAUAGAUAUCACGCAGAACUCCGAUUGCGAAGGCAGCUUACUAAGCCAUAACUGACACUGAUGCACGAAAGCGUGGGUAUCAAACAGGAUUAGAUACCCUAGUAGUC